rnacentral:rRNA from 1 species
UACGUAGGGUGCAAGCGUUAAUCGGAAUUACUGGGCGUAAAGCGUGCGCAGGCGGUUUCGUAAGUCUGUCGUGAAAUCCCCGGGCUUAACCUGGGAAUGGCAUUUGGGACUGCAAGGCUGGAGUGCGGCAGAGGAGACUGGAAUUCCUGGUGUAGCAGUGAAAUGCGUAGAUAUCAGGAGGAACACCGAUGGCGAAGGUAGGUCUCUGGGCUGACACUGACGCUCAUGCACGAAAGCGUGGGGAGCAAACAGG